GGGUGUGUGGGGGGUGUCUGCUAUCAGAUGUAAGACAGAGUUGAACAGGUCCAGUACCCCAGUGUGUGUGUGUGUGUGUGUGUGUGUGUGUGUUGCUGUCAGCUGAUCGGGGAGGGUUUAGCAGUCCCUUUACCCAGUGUGAGUGAGUGAGUGGUGUCAGUGGAGGGCGGUCACUCCGGGGCAGAGUGAGUGAGUGAGCGAGUGCUGUCAGUGGAGGGCAGUCACUCCGGGGCAGAGUGAGUGAGUGAGUGCUGUCAGUGGAGGGCGGUCACUCCGGGGCAGAGUGAGUGAGUGAGUGAAUGCUGUCAGUGGAGGGCGGUCACUCCGGGGCUGAGUGAGUGAGUGAGUGAGUGCUGUCAGUGGAGGGCGGUCACUCCGGGGCAGAGUGAGUGAGUGAGUGAGUGAGUGAGUGAGUGAGUGAGUGAGUGAGUGAGUGAGUGAGUGAGUGAGUGGUGUCAGUGGAGGGCAGUCACUCCGGGGCAGAGUGAGUGAGUGAGUGAGUGAGUGGUGUCAGUGGAGGGCGGUCACUCCGGGGCAGAGUGAGUGAGUGAGUGAGUGAGUGGUGUCAGUGGAGGGCGGUCACUCCGGGGCAGAGUGAGUUAGUGAGUGAGUGAGUGCUGUCAGUGGAGGGCAGUCACUCCGGGGCAGAGUGAGUGAGUGAGUGAGUGCUGUCAGUGGAGGGCGGUCACUCCGGGGCAGAGUGAGUUAGUGAGUGAGUGAGUGCUGUCAGUGGAGGGCAGUCACUCCGGGGCAGAGUGAGUGAGUGA